rnacentral:rRNA from 1 species
AAUGAACGUUGGCGGCGUGGAUUAGGCAUGCAAGUCGAGCGAUAACCGUAGCAAUACGGCGAAAGCGGCGAAAGGGAGAGGAACACGCGGGUACCUACCCUCGGAUUCAGGAUAGCCAUGGGAAACUAUGGGUAAUACUGAAUAACGUCUCCGGACCAAAGGUGUGAUUCCGUCCGGGGAGGGGCCCACGUCCUAUUAGCUAGUUGGCGAGGUAACGGCUCACCAAGGCGAAGAUGGGUACGGGGUGUGAGAGCAUGCCCCCGCUCACUGGGAAUGAGACACUGCCCAGACACCUACGGGUGGCUGCAGUCGAGAAUCUUCGGCAAUGGGCGCAAGCCUUACCGAGCGACGCCGCGUGCGAGAUGAAGGCCUUCGGGUUGUAAAUCGCUGUCGUAGGGGAGGAAAUGCCGGUGGGUUCUCCCAUCGGUUUGACCUAUCCUAGGAGGAAGGACGGGCUAAGUUCGUGCCAGCAGCCGCCGUAA